CCCGACUGCUAUUUGGGUGAGGAUAAGCCAUGCGAGUCGAAUGGGAUGCCUAAAAUUCCCAUGGCGAACUGCUUAGUAACACAUGAUCAACUUACCCUAUGGAGAAAAAUAACCUCGGGAAACUGAGGAUAAUGUUUCAUAGUUGAAUAGGCUUGGAAAAGUUUUUCAAUGAAAUGGAUAAGAAAAAUGGUUCUUAUCUGCCAUAGGAUAGGAUCGUGGUCGAUUAUGGUUGUUGGCGAGAUAGCGGCUCACCAAGCCGAUAAUCGAUAGGGGCCGUGAGAGCGGGAGCCCCAAGAUGGGUACUGAGACAACGACCCAGGCCUUACGAGGCGCAGCAGGCGCGGAACCUCCGCAAUACACGAAAGUGUGACGGGGUUACCCAAAGUGUUCUCUAUAGAACUGUGGUAGGUGAGUAAUGUUCCCUACUAGAAAGGAGAGGGCAAGGCUGGUGCCAGCCGCCGCGGUAAAACCAGCUCUUCAAGUGGUCGGGAUAAUAUUGGGCUUAAAGUGUCCGUAGCCGGUUUAGUAAGUUCCUGGUAAAAUCGGGUAGCUUAACUAUCUAUAUGCUAGGAAUACUGCUAUACUAGAGGGCGGGAGAGGUCUGAGGUACUACAGGGGUAGGGGUGAAAUCUUAUAAUCCUUGUAGGACCACCAGUGGCGAAGGCGUCAGACUGGAACGCGCCUGACGGUGAGGGACGAAAGCCAGGGGAGCGAACCGGAUUAGAUACCCGGGUAGUCCUGGCCGUAAACGAUGCAUACUAGGUGAUGGCACGGCCAUGAGCCGUGUCAGUGCCGUAGGGAAACCGUUAAGUGUGCCGCCUGGGAAGUACGGUCGCAAGGCUAAAACUUAAAGGAAUUGGCGGGGGAGCACCACAAGGGGUGAAGCCUGCGGUUUA
rnacentral:rRNA from 1 species